rnacentral:pre_miRNA from 1 species
UCCAGUAAUAUUACAGGCCUCACGUCUGAGUUGGACAGGGGAUCUUGACAGUUUAAUGUCACUUGCUGCCAGAUCUAUCUUUCCAGCUCACGCGUGAGGCCG